AUUUUUAAUUAAAUUCAUUAUACAGUAGAAAGCUAUUAGCAUAAUAUGUGACAAACUUCUAAUAUCUGGGUUGCCAGUUGGAAAUAGUGGCAAUUGUCUUUUCCAUGUGAUCUUUUUUCCUCUACUAUUUUAUUUUAAUUGUAAUAUAUACUCUGGAUUAGUGCGUUUUUUGACCCAUAUGGAUGAAGAAGAUCAAAGUGACAAAAAGGAGACUUCAGAACCUGAAUUUUCAAUAACAGAAAAUUAUUCUGGUCAGAAAACCUGUGUGUUUCCUACUGCCGAUUCAGCUGUCAGCCUUUCCAGUUCCAGUGAUCAGAAUACUACUUCUCCUGGUAUGAAUAGCAAUGAUGAAUUGUGUGAGAGUGUUUCAGUACAUCCGCUCCAGAUGACUGGAUUGACUGAUAUUGCAGACAUUAUUGAUGACCUUAUAAUUAAAGACGGAGUUUCCAGUGAAGAACUUGGCUUAACAGAACAAGCUAUGGGCACCUCCAGGUAAUCAUUGAAUAAUUC
rnacentral:sRNA from 1 species